AGGCCAGGAGCCCCAGGCCCAGAAAGAAUGGGGUCUGAGUUAGGGGGACAGGAAGCUGGGUUGGCAGGGGGACCUCUGGGCAGGUUCAGGAUGUGGGUGGACCAAGCCCGCUGCCACCUCUGCCCCCAUGGACACAGAGACCCCAGCUCCCGAGAACCAAGACCCCAGAGGACAAAAGAUGUUGCGGGGGGUGUUCCUGUGCAGGGGGAAAUCGUCAAGGGCCUGCGCUGAGGCUGUGCUGCCCAGACGCUGGACGGCAGCCCCCAGGGCGCAUGAGAACAGGACUCACGACUUCCACACGACGUUCACAGACAUUCCACAGAACCACGGUCAGGUGAGCGUGCACAGCCCUCGUCCAGCAAAGCUGAGCUGGCUUGUUUGCUGCAGGCUUUCUCUGAGCCACUCACGCGUGCUCUGAGCUCUGUGUGUGACCACGCGCACCGAGGAACCCUUAUUUGAGGGGUCCCAGUUACGCGCACACACACUGGGAAGUGCUGGGUGCUGUGAACAGUGAGCGUCAGGCUGCUGCUGGGUGUGGGCCUGGCGGGGCAGGAGGAGGGUCCACCCGUGUCGCACCUCCUCCCCUUGUCCCCACAAACUGAACAGUCCCCUCAAAUAGAUAACGAACUCCUACAGAUCAGUCAGAAUAAUAGGCAUAGAUUUGAGCAAACCUCCACAAAAGGAGCCCUCCACAUGGCCAGUGAACAUAUGAGAGUCGUUCAGGCUUUGCUGUGACACCACUGCUCACCCCCAAAGUGGCUACAAUUAAAGAGACCAACAGACGGAGUGUUGGUGAGGACGUGGAGCACCAGAAGCUCUUGCACGCAGGCAGUGGGUCUUCGAACUGCUCACCGGGCCCUGAGGAGCCGCUGGCACUUCCUAUGAACGUUGGGCACAAGCGAACCCUGUGCACGGUCUUCACCUCUCUCCUGCCCCCCGUCAGUCCGUUCAGGCAGCUCUGCUCGGAAUACCCAGACGGGGGCUUGCACUGCAACCAGGGAUUUCUCCAAGUCCUGGAGGCUGGAGGCCGCAGUCAAGGCACCGGCAGACUCGGCGCCUGGUGAGGACACUCUUCCUGGUCCGUAGAUGGCAUCUUCUCGCUGUGUCCUCACAUGGCAGAAGGGGACAGGGAAAGGAGGCUAAUCCUAUUCAUGACGGCUCCACCUGCGUGACCCAAGCCCCGCUCCUAACAGCAUCACAUGGAGGGCUAGGUCUCAACAGGUGGGGGACACGACAGUCCGUCUAUGGCACCCACCUAGUAGGACAUUGGGUCCCUCUGCCUUCUCUGCCCCGCAGUCCCAAUUUACCUCCGCCCCUGCCUGGGCCGCAGGCCUCUGAUAAAAGUUUGCCAAAGCAGGUAGAGUAGCGGCUCCUCCUUCCUAAAUGUGCAUUAUCUCGGCCGUUGGAACGAAGCACCAGGAAAUGAACUGAGGUCUCAGUCUGCGCUGGGAGGAAGAGGGAGAAUGGAGAUAGUCGUGUCUUCCUUCCGAUGAACUCUGUGGUUUUCUGAGCACUUUUGCCAACAGAACUUCACUGGCUCUCACCGCACCUUAGCGAGGUGAGCAGGACCUUCAUUCCCUGCCCAGCUCACACUGCUGACAACAGGUGAGACCAAGGGAGGAGCAGGCCACCCCGGGUGCAUGUGGCUGCGCGUACCGAGCUUAAACGGGAGGGGAUGUCACGUCCCCAGUGGAGGUCCAGAAACAGGCAGGUUCAAACGCUUCACGACGUCAUCAAAGACCCGCAUUCUUUUCACAUCUCUGCCCUGCCAGGGUCUCCUGUGGGUCUGUGGUCAGAGGCACUGAUGGCUUUGGGUCGGCCCAUCUGUCCAAGGAUGCCCGGUUAGCAAGCAGCCCUGGUAGAGAGAAUGCCGAGGGCAGAGCUGUCUGUUUUCUGGGGUGAAGUUCGGGCAAGUCUGCUUGCAACUCAUCAUAAGAUUCGGAAUCCUGCCUCAAACGCCUGCAGGCACGGCCUCCACCUGGACCAGCCACGGGCCUUGGGGGAAGAGGGAAGCCCACACACCGGGAAGCUCGAGCUUUUGGCCAGGCCAGGAGUAACGCCAUUCUUUGCCUCUGGUCCAGGAGCCUCGUGUCUUCCGCCAGCAUCUUCAAAACCGGGGCAGGCCAACUCACUAGCCUCAGACUCCUCGCCUGGCUGGUGCAAGACGGCUCAGUGACACAGGCACCACCCCAGACAGGGUAACUAACAGGGGAAGGUGGUCAGUCCUGGGGGCCUCCCUUACAAGCCAGAAUAAUGUUUCCUGGAAGUCUCCCUCGUGUUGGGCCACGUGCCCAGCUGAUAGGUAAGUGGGGGAAGGACUGGGUGGGCAGACGCCAGCGUGCACCGUCCACCACAGGAGGGCUGGCGAAGCCACGGACCAGGGCAGCAGCUCACAGCCAGUCCUCAUCCAGAAAGCUAAUGUGAACCGAGCACUUUCUGUGCAUCUCGCUCCCAAAACACAGCCCUCGCUCUGGAUGAAGCUAGAAGCAGCUCACGGAAGGGGACCAAGCUGGCCAGUGGCAGCACUGGGGCCGAACCAGAGGUCAGCCAUCCUCUACACCGUGUUCCUGCUUUGAGGUGACAAAAGGCCACAGUGUCUUAAACCAGGGGGCUGCCAUCACCCUGGGGACAGGAAAGGCCUGGCUGGCAGGCGCUAGCACUGCAGGGCCCCGUGUGUUCAGACGUGGAGGCCUCACAUGGCGCUCCGGGGAAGAAGGCCUGGCAGUGUGUGUCAGCCACGAUUCACGCCUCCUGCCUGCCACGGAGGCUCCAGCUGGGGGCCUGGCAACUCAGCCUGACCUCCACUCCCUGCCAUCGUCUUUCCAGCUGUCAUCACCUGUGGCCCCAGGGUCUUCUUGGGGACCAGAUAAGCAGGCCACAGCCCUCCCCAGUGGCCCCCUCACCGGGACAUCCCCUGCACCACCCUGGGUGUCCUUGUCAGCUGGGAGAAGACAGCUGCCCUGGCACUGGGACAGGCUCUGGACCCCCAGCCCGUCCCAGAGCCCACUGAGCUCCCUAUCUACCAACAGCCCAUAGAGGAAGGAGCAGAACGGGGAGGGGGACGUGACGCUCACAUGGCCCAGACCAGGAGAUGCCCGUCCAUCUGGGUGCCCACCUGGAACCUGGUGGUGGCCUCACCUGCAGAUACACCUGGGGAGGCGGGCUCUGACCUAUCAGUCAAUGGCCACCUGCCCCACUGCCGGUUGGUGUAAACGCCUCCCACAACAUGGGAUGAUUGACAUGCUCUGGGUCCAGUGAGCAUCAGAUUCGUUCCCAGAGUCACUGUGCCUGUGCGGGAGCUGCCUUCACAGCCAGACUGUGGUGGGUGGAGAAGGGAGGCCCAGGGCAGGUGGCCAUGCGGCCGGUGCGCCUGCCUCAGGGAUGGGCUACCCUGUCUAGCAUGACACUCCCAUUAGGGCGAGCUGCUUUGGGGUGGAGGAAGGCAGGAUGCAGGUGUCUGCAAGAGUAGUUAAUGGGAACACAGCAGCCCUGCUCCUGGAGCAGGUUGUCAGGUCAGGAGGGGGGCCGGCGAAUGCCACCCCCAGCCCGUUCUGACCCAGAGACGCCGUGGCCAUCUGGAGACCUGGGGCCCAGCCCCAUGUGUUAGCCCCUGCAGAGUGGUGGGCAGGCCUGGGCAGCCUUCCACACUGGCUCCUGGUGAAGUCCCAUGGAGGCUGGCUUGCCCUCCGUGUCCUGGCCUUCUACUGGACACAAGGUGGCAAGCCCCAGAAGCCUGCUGAACACAGUGACGUGCCCGCCCACCUGCUGCUCUGGCCUCCCACCUCCUUCCAUCCUCAAAGGCCAGAGCCUCAGAAGCCUCUGGAAGAACGGGGGCUCUGUGCACUCGGGGCCGCACAGGUGGGCCCGCAUGCCCGCCUGCCCUCUGCAGUCUCUCCUCCCUAGUGCAAGCCUUUUAAAUCGUGUCCUGUACCCUCCUCUCAAAAUGCUACGGGCCUCCUCAUUGGCCUGAAGGAAAGUCCGGUCCCCACCAGGGCCCGCACAUCCGUGCCUGCCUGCGGUGGGCGUCUCUGCUUCCACCAGUGUGGACUCUGCCCUCCCGCCUGCGAUGGGCCAGCGAGACACGGCCAGCUUUCGGGGAACUCGGAGGGGAAGCAACUGUGUCCCCUCCUGUGUGUGGCUCUCCCUCCAUCCCUCCCCAGUGGCCAUUUAGAAGGUUCUGGCUUCCAGAUGGCACAGCUACCCUUCCCCCGGGAGCCCUCCCCCGUCAGCCCCGUCCCUCCUCUGGUCUCUUCUAGGAGAGGAAACAGAACCCAUCUAGGUCUUCGUGGUAAAGACGUGCUGCGUUGACCAAGCCCGGUCCUCACCCUCGGGCAGGCAGGAAGGACCGGUUUCAAUACCUCGUCACCACUGGGGGCUCGGCCGAGCUCUGGAUGUGGGAUGGGGUGGGAAGCAUGCAGGCAGCAUCCGGGCCUGGCCCCUAAAGCCUUGCACUGGAGACACUCAUGUUUUGUGGGUUUGCUCAAUGUCAGGGCCUGUCCACCUUCUGUGCAAGCAGUUGGUGGGAUCGCGUCCUCACCCGGGAGCUGAGCAGGGAGCCCAGAAUCGACGUUGCUUUUCAGCCUGUGGAGGGAAUGCAGGUGGAGGCUGAGAGAGCAGACAGAGAACACUGGCCCGUCCGCCCCGCGCUGCUCCAUAGCCACACACAGCCACACACGCCCUCCUGCUCAGACUCCAGCUUCCAAACGUCAGCGGCCAGCACGCUCCCAGGAACACGGAGCAGGCUUCCCGUGAGCCAGUGAGAAGAGGCGCCCUCUCCCCACAGCGAGACUGCAGCCGUGCUCUGCUGAACGGACGGGUGAAGAGACGACAUCUAACGAGUUUGAAAUCCACAUGCCCUUCGAUCCCCCGGCCCCACUUUCAGGAGUUCAGGGUGUGCUGCCCAGUGGCGCCCGGCAUCAUCUGUGGUGGCGGAGGGCUGAGAACCCCGAUGCCCAUCACUGAGGACGGGCUGUGGCUCAAACAUGACAAAUGCUGGGUGUCCGAGAGAACUGCAGAAACAGGACCUGGCCUGACAGAAUCCAGCGUGUCACACAGGGGCCGUGCGGUUCUCAGUGCUGGCUGGGGGUUGAAGUACCCAGAUGUUAACAACACAGAGUAACCCCUGCCCCAAACGUCUCCG
ensembl:lncRNA